rnacentral:rRNA from 1 species
CAGUUAUCGUUUAUUUGAUAGUACCUUACUACUUGGAUAACCGUGGUAAUUCUAGAGCUAAUACAUGCUGAAAACCCCGACUUCCGAAGGGGUGUAUUUAUUAGAUAAAAAACCAAUGCCCUCCGGGGCUCCGUGGUGAUUCAUAAUAACUUAACGAAUCGCAUGGCCUUGCGCCGGCGAUGGUUCAUUCAAAUUUCUGCCCUAUCAACUUUCGAUGGUAGGAUAGUGGCCUACCAUGGUGUCAACGGGUAACGGGGAAUUAGGGUUCUAUUCCGGAGAGGGAGCCUGAGAAACGGCUACCACAUCCAAGGAAGGCAGCAGGCGCGCAAAUUACCCAAUCCCAAUUCGGGGAGGUAGUGACAAUAAAUACUGAUUGCGAAUUCUUUCGGAUUUGCAAAUUGGAAUGAGUACAAUUUAAAUCCCUUAACGAGGAACAAUUGGAGGGCAAGUCUGGUGCGCUCGCUGGCGCCAGACCACCAAACCGGUGGGGACCCUUCGGGGUUUCCUGCCAGGCAUCCGGUACGGGGAACGGCAGCGAUGCCCGAUCCCGUGGCGCACUUCCGCCGUAACGCAUGGCAGGAUGCCGGCGGUGCUACACCGCUUCAGGGACAUGCUAUUUCACCUUCGUGGGUCGAUGAUGUUAGGCCAGCAGCCGCGGUAAUUCCAGCUCCAAUAGCGUAUAUUAAAGUUGUUGCAGUUAAAAAGCUCGUAGUUGAACCUUGGGCCUGGCUGUCCGGUCCGCCUCACCGCGUGCACUGGUUCGGCCGGGCCUUUCCUUCUGGGGAGCCGCAUGCCCUUCACUGGGUGUGUCGGGGAACCAGGACUUUUACUUUGAAAAAUUAGAGUGUUCAAGCAGCCUAUGCUCGAAUACAUUAGCAUGUAUAUAGAAUAGACGUGCGGUUCUAUUUUGUUGGUUUCUAGGA